CCUACGGGAGGCAGCAGUGGGGAAUAUUGGGCAAUGGGCGCAAGCCUGACCCAGCAACGCCGCGUGAAGGAAGAAGGCUUUCGGGUUGUAAACUUCUUUUGUCAAGGGACAAAAUCAGGCUCGAGAGCCUGACCGAAGGUACUUGAAGAAAAAGCAUCGGCUAACUCCGUGCCAGCAGCCGCGGUAAUACGGAGGAUGCGAGCGUUAUCCGGGUUUAUGGGGUUUAAAGGGUGCUGAGGCGGGCUGUUAAGUCAGCGGUAAAAGCCCGGGGCUCAACCCCGGCGAGCCGUUGAAACUGGCUGUCUUGAGAUGUCGAGAGGUAUGCGGAAUGCGCAGUGUAGCGGUGAAAUGCUUAGAGAUUGCGCAGAACUCCGAUUGCGAAGGCAGCAUACCGGCGGCGAUCUGACGCUGAGGCACGAAAGCGUGGGUAUCGAACAGGAUUAGAUACCCCAGUAGUC
rnacentral:rRNA from 1 species